CAACGAUAACGUCGUAUUCGUUGGUCGCUUUGGCAUUGGUACUCCUUAUUGCACUUCUUCAAAGGAUUGAUCUUGUACGGACGUGUCUGACAAGACUAUUUCCAGGUACAUUUGGUUACAGGAAAGGGAUUUGUGCGGUUGUAAUCAGUUCCAAGCCCCUCAGAGACAUUCUCCUUUCUAUUGAUAAGAACCUGCCUUUACUUCUGAAAACGAAUACCAAGAAAUACAAGAAGAGUAUAAUAAUUUUUUAAAUGAUGUCAAAGUUGAACUAGAGGAGAGAAUUACCAGUUUUACAUUCUCUUCGUUAUUUGUUGGAAGUGCAGCAGAAAGAUUUGGUAUUCCAUUUAAGCAUAAAAUAAUUUCACGAAAAGUGGAUGCUUUAGAGCAGAGUCACUUGA
rnacentral:misc_RNA from 1 species